rnacentral:rRNA from 1 species
UUGGAAACAGUUGCUAAGGCUGGAUAGGAAAUAAAAAGGCAUCUUUUUAUUUUUAAAAGACCUUCUUCGGAGGGUAUGCUUAAAGAGGGGCUUGCGUCACAUUAGUUAGUUGGUAGGGUAAUGGCCUACCAAGACGAUGAUGUGUAGCUGGACUGAGAGGUUGAACAGCCACAUUGGGACUGAGACACGGCCCAAACUCCUACGGGAGGCAGCAGUAGGGAAUUUUCGGCAAUGGAGGAAACUCUGACCGAGCAACGCCGCGUGAACGACGAAGUACUUCGGUAUGUAAAGUUCUUUUAUUGAAGAAGAAACAAUAGUGGAAAAACUAUCUUGACGUUAUUCAAUGAAUAAGCCCCGGCUAACUAUGUGCCAGCAGCCGCGGUAAUACAUAGGGGGCGAGCGUUAUCCGGAAUUAUUGGGCGUAAAGGGUGCGUAGGCGGUUUAAUAAGUCUCUAGUUUAAUUUCAACGCUUAACGUUGUCCUGCUAGAGAAACUGUUUGACUAGAGUGAGAUAGAGGUAAGCGGAAUUCCAUGUGUAGCGGUAAAAUGUGUAAAUAUAUGGAGGAACACCAGAGGCGUAGGCGGCUUACUGGGUCUUUACUGACGCUGAUGCACGAAAGCGUGGGGAGCAAACAGGAUUAGAUACCCUGGUAGUCCACGCCGUAAACUAUGAGUACUAAGUGUCGGGGUUAAACUCGGUACUGAAGUUAACACAUUAAGUACUCCGCCUGAGUAGUACGUACGCAAGUAUGAAACUUAAAGGAAUUGACGGGAUCCCGCACAAGCGGUGGAUCAUGUUGUUUAAUUCGAAGAUACACGAAAAACCUUACCAGGUCUUGACAUACUCUGCAAAACUAUAGAAAUAUAGUGGAGGUUAUCAGGGAUACAGGUGGUGCAUGGUUGUCGUCAGCUCGUGUCGUGAGAUGUUAGGUUAAGUUCUAAAACGAGCGCAACCCCUGUCGUUAAUUGCCAGCACGUUAUGGUGGGGACUUUAGCGAGACUGCCAAUGAAAAAUUGGAGGAAGGUGGGGAUUACGUCAAAUCAUCAUGCCCCUUAUGAUCUGGGCUACAAACGUGAUACAAUGGCUAUUACAAAGAGUAGCUUAAACGCGAGUUUUUGGCAAAUCUCAAAAAAAUAGUCUUAGUUCGGAUUGAAGUCUGCAACUCGACUUCAUGAAGUUGGAAUCGCUAGUAAUCGCGAAUCAGCAUGUCGCGGUGAAUACGUUCUCGGGGUUUGUACACACCGCCCG